GAAAUACUCCCUCCGUCCAGAAAUACAUGUCGGAGAAAUGGGUAAAACUGGAUGUAUCUAGAACUAAAAUACGUCUAGAUACAUCCAUUUCUCCGACGAGUAUUUCCAGAUGGAGGGAGUAUUUA
rfam:Triticum aestivum genome assembly, contig: Triticum_aestivum_CS42_TGACv1_scaffold_093295_2AL